rnacentral:rRNA from 1 species
CAGAUUGCAGGCUGCAACCGCCUGCAUGAAGUCGGAAUUGCUAGUAAUCGCGGAUCAGCAUGCCGCGGUGAAUACGUUCCCGGGCCUUGUACACACCGCCCGUCACACCAUGGGAGCCGGUAAUACCCGAAGUCAGUAGUCCAACCUCGUGAGGACGCUGCCGAAGGUAGGAUUGGCGACUGGGGUGGAAGUCGUAACAAGGUAAC